rnacentral:rRNA from 1 species
AUUGAACGCUGGCGGAAUGCUUUACACAUGCAAGUCGAACGGUAACAGGUUAAGCUGACGAGUGGCGAACGGGUGAGUAAUACAUCGGAACGUGCCCAGUCGUGGGGGAUAACGUAGAGAAAUUUACGCUAAUACCGCAUAUGAUCUAAGGAUGAAAGCGGGGGACCGUAAGGCCUCGCGCGAUUGGAGCGGCCGAUGUCAGAUUAGGUAGUUGGUGGGGUAAAGGCCUACCAAGCCGACGAUCUGUAGCUGGUCUGAGAGGACGACCAGCCACACGGGGACUGAGACACGGCCCAGACUCCUACGGGAGGCAGCAGUGGGGAAUUUUGGACAAUGGGCGCAAGCCUGAUCCAGCCAUUCCGCGUGCAGGAUGAAGGCCCUCGGGUCGUAAACUGCUUUUGUACAGAACGAAAAGGUCUGGGUUAAUACCCUGGGCUCAUGACGGUACUGUAAGAAUAAGCACCGGCUAACUACGUGCCAGCCGCCGCUGUAA